UGGGGAAUAUUGCACAAUGGGCGCAAGCCUGAUGCAGCCAUGCCGCGUGGAGGUGGAAGGCCUACGGGUCGUCAACUUCUUUUCUCGGAGAAGAAACAAUGACGGUAUCUGAGGAAUAAGCAUCGGCUAACUCUGUGCCAG
rnacentral:rRNA from 1 species